rnacentral:rRNA from 1 species
UACGGAGGGAGCUAGCGUUGUUCGGAAUUACUGGGCGUAAAGCGCACGUAGGCGACUUUUUAAGUCAAAAAUGAAAUCCCAGGGCUCAACCCCGGAACUGCCCUUGAAACUGGAUAGCUAGAAUCUUGGAGAGACAAAUGGAAUUCCGAGUGUAGAGGUGAAAUUCGUAGAUAUUCGGAAGAACACCAAUGGCGAAAGCAACUCGCUGGACAAGUAUUGACGCUGAGGUGCGAAAGCGUGGGGAGCAAACAGG